UCAAGGAAAUUAGAGAGCAACAACAACACCACUCACGGCCAAGAACAAGGGAAAACCAAGUUCAAUUUGAGCCACCCCAAAAUUAUUUCCUUGGUACAAACCCACUAUUUGGAGGUCCCUAAGUAGCGUGGAAGCAUUGUUGGAGCGAUCAAGUCAUUCGUUUAAGAGAUCGCAAACCCUAACCCAUUGUGGAAUUGAAGAAGAAAGACCUUGGGGAGCCCGAGGCGUAGAUUGGGAUUAACUUUAGAUUGGCUAGCAUGGAGUGCGUACGAGGUACAGACGCACAGUUUGGUGAUCCACCAGUUUAGGACACCCUCUUUUGUUGUUCGGAGUGCUCUUCUCAUUCCAGAGCCUACAUUUCGGUAUAUACGUUCGUUCGUUACAUAUGUAUAUAUUUGUUCAGGGGUACGGCGGGGCCCUGUCCCGCCAUAUGUUUUGAUUGGUCUGUUUAGAGGUCUGUAGACGUAUUUGUGGGUGUGUGUGCCUACUUCUGUUCAGAUGUGUUUGUAUGAUCCUAUUCGCUAUGGCAGCCUUGUCGGCGUGCAUUCGUAUUUGUUUUGGG